AUGGCCAACAACAACCUCCCCCGCCGGAUCAUCAAGGAGACGCAGCGGCUGCUCAGCGAGCCAGCGCCGGGGAUCAGCGCCUCGCCGUCGGAGGAGAACAUGCGCUACUUCAAUGUCAUGGUCCUUGGCCCCGCUCAGUCGCCCUACGAAGGCAAGAUAGAUACUACAACGUCGGUCCGCGUGUGGGAGCCCGUGCUCCCUCGGUAG
rnacentral:rRNA from 1 species